UACGGAGGGUGCAAGCGUUAUCCGGAUUCACUGGGCUUAAAGGGUGCGUAGGUGGGCAGGUAAGUCCGUGGUGAAAUCCCUGAGCUUAACUCGGGAACUGCCAUGGAUACUAUUUGUCUUGAAUAUUGUGGAGGUAAGCGGAAUAUGUCAUGUAGCGGUGAAAUGCUUAGAUAUGACAUAGAACACCAAUUGCGAAGGCAGCUUACUACACAGUUAUUGACACUGAGGCACGAAAGCGUGGGGAUCAAACAGG
rnacentral:rRNA from 1 species